rnacentral:rRNA from 1 species
AUUGAACGCUGGCGGCAUGCCUUACACAUGCAAGUCGAACGGCAGCACGGGCUUCGGCCUGGUGGCGAGUGGCGAACGGGUGAGUAAUACAUCGGAACGUGCCCUGUCGUGGGGGAUAACUAGUCGAAAGAUUAGCUAAUACCGCAUACGACCUGAGGGUGAAAGCGGGGGACCGUAAGGCCUCGCGCGAUAGGAGCGGCCGAUGUCUGAUUAGCUAGUUGGUGGGGUAAGAGCCUACCAAGGCGACGAUCAGUAGCUGGGCUGAGAGGACGAUCAGCCACACUGGGACUGAGACACGGCCCAGACUCCUACGGGAGGCAGCAGUGGGGAAUUUUGGACAAUGGGGGCAACCCUGAUCCAGCAAUGCCGCGUGUGUGAAGAAGGCCUUCGGGUUGUAAAGCUCUUUCGGCCGGGAAGAAAUCGCACAGGCUAAUACCCUGUGUGGAUGACGGUACCGGAAUAAGAAGCACCGGCUAACUACGUGCCAGCCGCCGCCGUAACAC